rnacentral:lncRNA from 1 species
UCAGGGAAAGAGGGCCUUCUCUGAGGGGAGGCUGCCUCAGGGGCUUUGACAGGGGACUCUGCAUAACCACUGCUGGAAACUCGGAGGAUGAGAAGCAGUAGCUGGAGAAGAUAGGAAAGAAAACCCGGAAUGAGAAGGCUAUCCAGAGGAAGUUGACGGACUGAAGCUGAGCUGAUGAGAGGCAGUCCCCAAAGGCCGCCGAGAAAUGGGAUUGUGCCUGUCUUAAGAUUUCUUCACUUGGGCUGAAUUUACUAUUACUUUUUCCCUCUCAUUUUUAUUUGUUCUUUGAGAAUUCUGUCACUGUAUUUUGAUCUCAUUCAUCCUCCUUCCAUAGCUUUCCCCAGAUUAGUCUCUUCCCUGCUCGGCCAACUUUGUUUAACCAACAUUCUUAGCCUGGUCUCUCUGAAGAGCAGACUUGCACGUACAGAAGAAAGUGCUGGAAACUUAUUGGAGAACAUUAUAAGGGAUGAUAUGAGAGUACUGGAUGAGAAAGAACAGGGCUGAAGAGAAGGAGUGGCUAUAAUCUCAGUGGAGGAAGGGGUCUUCAGAGUGGACCCCAGUCCUUAUUAUCUGUGGGGUUCUUCAGAAAAGAAGCUGGGACUUAGGUAA